CGUUAGGCCUCGAGCAUGCGCAGAGUCAGACAGUGAUUGGAGCUGGACGAAGUGGGUUCUGGAAGUCAAGGACUGAGAGACCAAACACCCCAUCAAGAUUUAAUAGAGUGGCUCGAUCCAGCAGGACUUGAAUGUGAUCAGCUUCUGAAUGUGCAGGGGAAAGGUUUGUCCGCUUGUCCGUGGGAGAAGAUUUCAGGAAUCAGCCUGGUAAAUCUCCUCUGCUCCCUCUCUGUGUUCCUGUGUGUGAUGUAAUCACACUGCGACAAUUACACAUCGACUUCACCCACUCUCGGGGAUUUCCUCAACUGUGAGGUUUUUCUCUGACUCCGUUGCUUCUGAAACCCUUCUAGCUGCAGGCUUCAGAAGGAAGUUUUCAAAUGGUAACUAGUGGAAGUAUUUCAGGGCUGUGCAUUUUUACAAAUUCAUUUUCAAUCCAGAGUUUCAGUGCAGUGCUGUAAGAGGUUCCAUAUGUUAUGUUACUUAGUUUUAGAAUUUUACUGUUUUUACAAGUGGAAGCAUUUGUAGGUCAGUGAGCACGGGGGUGAUAGGUGAACAAGAGUUGUUGACAAUAAGCACAUGACUUUUGGAUAAUCUCAAGAUUGCAGGGAUGUUGAAUGAGAGAGGCUAAUUUGGAGGUAGUUAGGACAGUUUAGUUUGGAGAUAACAAAGGAAUGGAUGGGAGUUACAGCAGAAAAUGAGCUGAAACUAGGGUGGAGUCAGUGAUGUUACUGAGGUGGAAAUAGGCAGUCUUGGUGAUGAUGGGGAUAUGUAGUUGGAAACUCAUUUUGGGGUGAAAUGUUUCAUUAUGAUUGUGAACGGUCUGGUUUAGGCUCAGACAAUUUCCAGGGAGAGGGAUUGAGUCAGUGGAGAGGGAUUGAGUCAGUGGAGAGGGAGUGGAGUUUGUAGUGAGGAUUAAAGACAAUGGCUUCAGUCUUCCCAACAUUUAAAUGGAGGAAGUUUCUGUUCAUCCAAUACUGAAUUUCAGACAAAUUAGGAUGGUGUUUGACAGAGGGAACUUGGAGGUAUGUUCAAAUACACCUGCUACCUCCUUUCAGGGGCUGGAAGUUCAGGAUUUGAGAAAUUCUCUAAAAGUUUUAUUUGAGUUGUAAAUAUAUAAAAUGCUUCUCUUGCCUCUCCCUCCCUCUCUGCUUCUGCUUCGUUGUGGCCAGUUUUCUGUAGGUCCAGACAGGUUGGACAUUAGAGAGCCAGCUGUGUUUUUAUGAGAACCCAGCAGCUUUAAUGCUCACUUUUCUGCAUGUCAGCCCCAUAAAUUACAAAAUCAAUUCAGCUCAGUGUCAGAGUCUGCCUUUGUGUUUCUCAAGGGGGUUCUCUUACUUUAUUUGUUUGUGUUUCGA